AUUAAACUGAAGAGUUUGAUCCUGGCUCAGAUUGAACGCUGGCGGCAUGCUUUACACAUGCAAGUCGAACGGCAGCACGGGUGCUUGCACCUGGUGGCGAGUGGCGGACGGGUGAGUAAUGCAUCGGAACGUGUCCAGAAGUGGGGGAUAACGCAUCGAAAGAUGUGCUAAUACCGCAUAUUCUCUAAGGAGGAAAGCAGGGGAUCGCAAGACCUUGUGCUUUUGGAGCGGCCGAUGCCUGAUUAGCUAGUUGGUGGGGUAAAGGCCUACCAAGGCAACGAUCAGUAGUUGGUCUGAGAGGACGACCA
rnacentral:rRNA from 1 species